rnacentral:misc_RNA from 1 species
GAUGAAGAACGUAGCGAAAUGCGAUACGUAGUGUGAAUUGCAGAAUUCCGUGAACCAUCAAAUCUUUGAACGCAUAUUGCGCUCGAGGCUUCGGCCGAGAGCAUGUCUGCCUCAGCGUCGGUAUUACUCCUCGCUUCUCAACCCCUGGUUGAUGCCUGCCUGCCUUUGCAGUUGGCUAGAAGCGGAUCUGGCUUUCCCAAUUGCCUUUGGUAGUUGGGUCAGCUGAAGCACAGAGGCUUGAGCAAGGACCCUUAUUGGGCUUCAACUGGAUAGGUAGAACUGGUCUUAGGACCAACUACACGAAGUUGUUGCUUGUGGUCUUUGUCUGGAGGCCAGCAGGAAACCUUUAUACCUUCGACCUGAGCUCAGGCAAGAUUACCCGCUGAACUUAAGCAUAUCAAUAAGCGGAGGA